UACGUAGGGUGCGAGCGUUAAUCGGAAUUACUGGGCGUAAAGCGUGCGCAGGCGGUUUUGUAAGCCAGAUGUGAAAUCCCCGGGCUUAACCUGGGAAUGGCAUUUGGGACUGCAAGGCUGGAGUUUGGCAGAGGAGACUGGAAUUCCUGGUGUAGCAGUGAAAUGCGUAGAUAUCAGGAGGAAUACGAUGGCGAAGGCAGGUCUCUGGGACUGAAACUGACGCUCAUGACACGAAAGCGUGGGGAGCAAACAGGA
rnacentral:rRNA from 1 species